rnacentral:rRNA from 1 species
GAUGAACGCUGGCGGCGUGCCUAAUACAUGCAAGUCGAGCGAACAGAUGAGGAUCUUGCUCCUCGGACGAUAGCGGAGGACGGGUGAAAAACACGUGGAUAACCUACCUAUAAGAGUGAGAUAACUUCGGGAAACGGGAGCUAAUACGGGAGAAGAUAUUGAAGCGCAGGGGUGAAUGGUGAGAGACGGUGGUUGGGGCGGUUGGGGAUGGAUCCGCGCCGGAUUAGCGGGUUGGUGGGGUAGCGGCUUACCAAGGCGUUGAGGCGUAGGCGGCCUGAGAGGGUGACCGGCCACAUUGGGACUGAGAUACGGCCCAGACUCCUACGGGAGGCAGCAGUGGGGAAUAUUGCACAAUGGGCGGAAGCCUGAUGCAGCAACGCCGCGUGCGGGAUGACGGCCUUCGGGUUGUAAACCGCUUUCGCCUGUGACGAAGCGUGAGUGACGGUAAUGGGUAAAGAAGCACCGGCUAACUACGUG